rnacentral:rRNA from 1 species
CACACCGCCCGUCACACCACGAGAGUUUGCAACACCCGAAGUCGGUGACAGAACCCUUAGGGGACUGAGCUGCCGAAGGUGGGGCAGAUGAUUGGGGUG